rnacentral:rRNA from 1 species
UACAGAGGUGGCAAGCGUUGUUCGGAAUUACUGGGCGUAAAGGGCGCGUAGGCGGUUCCGUAAGUCCCGCGUGAAAUCCCCCGGCUCAACUGGGGAACUGCGCGGGAAACUGUGGGGCUAGAGUUCAGGAGAGGGAAGCGGAAUUCCGGGUGUAGCGGUGAAAUGCGUAGAUAUCCGGAGGAACACCGGUGGCGAAGGCGGCUUCCUGGACUGACACUGACGCUGAGGCGCGAAAGCUAGGGGAGCAAACGGG